rnacentral:misc_RNA from 1 species
AGCAGCCGCGGUAAUUCCAGCUCCAAUAGCGUAUAUUAAAGUUGUUGCAGUUAAAAAGCUCGUAGUUGAAUUUCGGGAUCAAUAUAUCGGUCGUGCCUUGGUACGUACUGGUAUCAUUGGUUUCUCCUUUCUGACGAACCAUGAUGUCAUUAAUUUGGUGUUAUGGGAAGUUAGGACUGUUACUUUGAAAAAAUUAGAGUGUUUAAAGCAGGCUUUGGCUUGAAUACAUUAGCAUGGAAUAAUGAAAUAGGACGUUCGAACCUAUUUUGUUGGUUUCUAGGAUCAACGUAAUGAUUAAUAGGGAUAGUUGGGGGCAUUAGUAUUCAAUUGUCAGAGGUGAAAUUCUUGGAUUUAUUGAAGACUAACUACUGCGAAAGCAAUUUGCCAAGGAUGUUUUCAUUAAUCAAGAACGAAAGUUAGGGGAUCGAAGACGAUCAGAUACCGUCGUAGUCUUAACCAUAAACUAUGCCGAC